rnacentral:rRNA from 1 species
AACGGAGGGUGCAAGCGUUGUUCGGAAUUACUGGGCGUAAAGAGCGCGUAGGCGGAGAGUUAAGUGUGGCCUGAAAGCCCCCGGCUCAACCGGGGAGGGCGGCUGCAAACUGGCUUUCUUGAGGGCGACAGAGGAGUGUGGAAUUCCUGGUGUAGCGGUGAAAUGCGUAGAUAUCAAGAGGAACACCUGAGGUGAAGACGGGUUGCUGGGCUGACACUGACGCUGAGGCGCGAAAGCCAGGGGAGCAAACGGG